GCAGCGAUGUCCGAGCGGUCAAGGAGAUUGACUAGAAAUCAGUUGGGCUCUGUCCGCCUAGGUUCGAAUCCUGCUCGCGGCG
rnacentral:tRNA from 1 species